CCGAGCGAAGCGGUCAGAACCCGGAAAGAAAUCGUCCCAGGCGCGGAGUGGGGCGACCGUCACGUCCAUGUUUCUUAGCUUUGCCUUCUUCGCCUCCGGAAUCCGGAGGCGGAGGCGGCGGCGGCGGCGGCAACCGAGCUGGAGGAAGAGAUGACAGACGCUCUCGUCUCGAUCGGCUUUGAGGUUUGAUUCCAAGACCCUGGAACCUCAUUGGAAGGGACUGGUUACUGUUGUCCUGUCAGCUCCCUUGGCGGUGAAGGUGGCUGGAUAUUCUGCCUGGAUACAUCGCAACCAUCUGAAAACAGGAUGCCCUACAGACAUCAAAAAGGACAAAUGGAAGGUUAUCAGCCAACCAGGUGACCAAAAGCUAAGAUUGGAGUGGGUUGGAGAUGUUUUGCCUUCAUGAUAAUAUUCUCUGGGACACUGGCAGUAUUGCCCCGAAGAGGACUAGAUCACAGAAAAAAAUGUAUGGAUUCAAUUGGCAAACUCACUUAAUUUGUCUGAAUUUUGUCUAAAUGUUGAUGUAAAUUUCCAUCAUGUAUUGGGGACAUGCCUCAUGUCGUAAACCUAAAAAUGCUGUCAAAUUAUAUACACCCAAGGUAAUUAUGUCAAAUAAUACCCAAUGUGCUAUGUAUGAAAAUUGUACAACCAAAUGUCUGAGGAUAAAACAGUCAGAAGGGAUGUCCUGCCAUAUAAAACAAAAAAUCGUGUAUACCAAUUGCCAUAUCUCCCUGCCAAUAGGAUGGUUUUACACCUGUGAAGGAAUAACUUUCAAUUAUAUCCCAGCCAAUUUAACCAAGA